GACGAACGCUGGCGGCGUGCUUAACACAUGCAAGUCGAACGAUGAAGCCGGAGCUUGCUCUGGUGAAUUAGUGGCGAACGGGUGAGUAACACGUGAGUAACCUGCCCUUGACUCUGGGAUAACUGCGGGAAACUGUAGCUAAUACCGGAUACGACCCUCGGAGGCAUCUCCUGGGGGUGGAAAGAAUUUCGGUCAAGGAUGGACUCGCGGCCUAUCAGCUAGUUGGUGAGGUAAAGGGUCACCAAGGCGACGACGGGGAGCCGGCCUGAGAGGGUGACCGGCCACACUGGGACUGAGACACGGCCCAGACUCCUACGGGAGGCAGCAGUGGGGAAUAGUGCACAAUGGGCGCAAGCCUGAUGCAGCAACGCCGCGUGAGGGAUGACGGCCUUCGGGUUGUAAACCUCUUUUAGCAGGGAAGAAGCGAAAGUGACGGUACCUGCAGAAAAAGCACCGGCUAACUACGUGCCAGCCGCCGCCGUAA
rnacentral:rRNA from 1 species